rnacentral:rRNA from 1 species
AUGCAGGUCGAACGUGAGUACUCUUUGGAGUAUGAAAGUGGCGAACGGGUGAGUAACACGUAAGAAUCUACCUUUAGGACGGGGAUAACUUCUGGAAACGGAUGCUAAUACCCGAUAUGCUGUGGAGUGAAAGAAUUUCGCCUAAAGAUGAUCUUGCGUCUGAUUAGCUAGAUAGGGUGGUAACGGCACACUAUGGCGACGAUCAGUAGCUGGUCUGAGAGGAUGGACAGCCACAUUGGAACUGAGACACGGUCCAAACUCC